GUGGGGAAUAUUGGACAAUGGGCGCAAGCCUGAUCCAGCCAUGCCGCGUGAACGAUGAAGGCCUUCGGGUUGUAAAGUUCUUUAGCCGAUGAUUAUAAUGACUGUAGUCGGAAAAUAAGCCCCGGCUAACUUCGUGCCAGCAGCCGCGGUAAUACGAAGGGGGCGAGCGUUAUUCGGAAUCACUGGGCGUAAAGCGUGCGUAGGCGGUCUCGUAAGUUAGGAGUGAAAGCCCAGGGCUCAACCUUGGAAUUGCUCUUAAUACUGCAAGGCUAGAAUCUCGGAGAGGAUAGCGGAAUUUCCAGUGUAGCAGUGAAAUGCGUAGAUAUUGGAAGGAACACCAGUGGCGUAAGCGGCUAUCUGGACGAGUAUUGACGCUGAGGCACGAAAGCGUGGGGAUCAAACAGGAUUAGAUACCCUAGUAGUCC
rnacentral:rRNA from 1 species